rnacentral:rRNA from 1 species
CGCAAUGGGCGAAAGCCUGACGGAGCAAUACCGCGUGAGGGAUGACGGCCUAUGGGUUGUAAACCUUUUUUUUCAGGGAGGAAUCAAUGACGUGUACCUGAAGAAUAAGCAUCGGCUAACUCCGUGCCAGCAGCCGCGGUAAGACGGAGGAUGCAAGUGUUAUCCGGAAUCACUGGGGGUAAAGCGUCUGUAGGUGGUCCAAUAAGUCAACUGUUAAAUCUUGAGGCUUAACCUCAAAAUCGCCGUUGAAACUGUUAGUCUAGAGUAUUGUAGGGGUAAAGGGAAUUUCCAGUGGAGCGGUGAAAUGCCUAGAUAUUGGAAGGAACACCGAUGGCGAAGGCACUUUACUGGGCUCUUUCUAACACUCCGGGACGAAAGCUA